GCCCAUUUUCUUCUUUUCAAUCAUUGUUCUUGCUAUCCUAAAAUCAUGUUCUUUAUUAUAUUAUUCUAUUAUUUUGGGUGUCCCCUUUAAAAUUUUAAAUUAUUUGUUGCAGUAUCAUUCUCUACCAUAUAUUCACACAAUAAGAUAUUCUAAGCACAAAUUAAUAAAGUUUCUUUAUUUUUUAGCCACACAUUCUUCAAAAAUAAUUAUUCAAAACUCUUUAAUUUCCCAAAUAAUGAGUGACAAAUAAGGGUUUAAAUAAGAGUUAGUUAGCAUAUCAUUUAUCUAACUUCUAAUAAAAAGGGAAAAGAGGGUCUACUAUCAUAUCAUUUUCUUUGUUGUGUUCGUUGGUACUCCUGCAGAUUAUUGUGUUGCUUCCGUAGGAGACGAAAUUUGUUCUAUUCUGGGAAAUGAUUUCUGCACGUUUUUUGUACCGUUGAAGGCAGCAAAUUCAUUUUAAGGAAAUAUCGUGAAGUCGGUAGGCUCGAAUUUAAUUUUCUGAUCCUGUUGAUUCUGUUAGAUUGUUUGGACGGAGAGACUUAUAUUCUAGAAGCAAAAACAUUUUUUUAUUUAUCGUUUUUACACUUGUACAAAUGCCCAUAAAAGAAUCUCUUCUUAGUCUCUUGCUUUCUUCAUUUGCCCUACAUUAGGUGAUUUGAUUGAGUCAAACAAAAGUAGAAGCAAGAACUCUGCCAUGAGACUGAACUUCAGCUAGCUAUGGUUGAUUCUUCAGUAUUUAGUACAAACAAUUUGAGUACUGAAAUUUCUAUUUUGUAUUGUAUAGGAGUAUAAAAACAAAGAAAAUAAGAAUUCAUCCUUUAAGUUCAUAGUAGGCUCAUGGGUCAAAAUCUUUAUUUGAUCUUUUUGGCGGCCAUGUGUUUAUCGAUGUUUGUUUUCUCCAAUAACAAUACUGUCAAGCUUUGGAGAGCUAGAAGCAUGGCUAUGGUAACCCUAAAUGUAUAACAUUUUACAUGGGAUUAGAUAAGGUAGCCUCUAUACUCGGCUACUUGAUAAUUCUGGCAUCCGACUAGGGAAAAAGCCCUUUUUAACACGAGAUAUAAUGUUAUUCCAUAAUUAGAUUGUGAUUAAUACAAUUUCCCAAGUCCCUAAAAUUGCAUACUGUGGUGUGCUGGUUGGGAGGCUGGGGGGUUGUAAAACUCAAUAUUGAUGGUUUCUUUAGAAUAUCCUCAAAUCUUGUUGCUGGGGAGCCCUGGAGGGGUAAUUAGAGACCAUGAGGGGCAUAUGUUGCUGGCUUUCUAUGAAUUUAUGGAUCACAUUAUGUACUGGAGGCAGAGAUGAGGUCAAUAUGCACUUGGCUGCAAUUGCGCAAAGAACAGAGAUACAGCAAAACUUGGCUGCAAUUUGCAUUUCGGGCUUCAUCUUGAAAGGUAAGCUACAUUUCUUUUUGUCUGAAUUUUUGAGUUGAACAACAUAUUUUCUGCAAUUUUUCGGAUGAAAUGGAUUCCUUAGGUUCUCCUAUAAAUGAAGGAGUGUUGAUAUGGUUUGAUCAUUUUGUAGUUCCAAGGAAGGCAAUUUCUACUUCAAUUUUACCUUUGACAUUGCAGCAAUGACUCUCAAAAUACAAAGAAUCCGCCGCCAAUGGCACUGGAAAUCCUGGAGCAUCUUUCGAAUGUUGCUAGCACCAAAGAUUUUGUGUAACAUAGGUAAAUCUUUGAGAACUGUUGAACAGGAAUGUGCUAAAGAAAUUGAAAUAUCCGCUAAUAACUAAACUAACUUGUGUUUGAUGAAAAUUUAUUGUUUUAUAGUUUUUGAUGUUACAAAAAAUACUCAAAAGUGCUAAUAAUUCUUCCUGAUUAUAAGAUGUUU
rnacentral:lncRNA from 1 species